UCUGACGACCAUAGCAGGUUGGCCCCACUCCUUCCCAUCUCGAACAGGACAGUGAAACGACCCCGCGCCAAUGAUAGUGUGGAUUACCCAUGUGAAAGUAGGUCAUCGUCAGAC
rnacentral:rRNA from 3 species